AGUGAACGCUGGCGGUAGGCCUAACACAUGCCAGUCGAACGGCAGCACAGUAAGAGCUUGCUCUUACGGGUGGCGAGUGGCGGACGGGUGAGGAAUACAUCGGAAUCUACUUUUUCGUGGGGGAUAACGUAGGGAAACUUACGCUAAUACCGCAUACGACCUACGGGUGAAAGCAGGGGAUCUUCGGACCUUGCGCGAUUGAAUGAGCCGAUGUCGGAUUAGCUAGUUGGCGGGGUUAAGGCCCACCAAGGCGACGAUCCGUAGCUGGUCUGAGAGGAUGAUCAGCCACACUGGAACUGAGACACGGUCCAGACUCCUACGGGAGGCAGCAGUGGGGAAUAUUGGACAAUGGGCGCAAGCCUGAUCCAGCCAUACCGCGUGGGUGAAGAAGGCCUUCGGGUUGUAAAGCCCUUUUGUUGGGAAAGAAAAGCAGCAGGUUAAUACCCCGCUGUUCUGACGGUACCCAAAGAAUAAGCACCGGCUAACUUCGUG
rnacentral:rRNA from 1 species